UUCAGCUGGGCUGGUUUUGAAAGCCAGUCUUCAACGAAAUUCUGUCACCUGUAAGGCCAGCAGCUUAUUAGGGUCACACAUCACCAACGAAAAGCUGAAGUUGGUGCUGGUGGAGGAGGCCUACCAGCAGUGUCCUGAGCUGUAGUGUUUUGAAUGGGAGCUGCUGCUCAGGGUGUGUUCUGCUCUGUGCUACUGAGGAGCUGGGUAAGGCUGAGAGGCAGAAGGUGGAUCUGGAUGCUGCUGGACUGGAAUGAUCUCAGACAUUUUUUUUUUUGUGAGGUAGGAGGUUCGGGAUGGGUAGGGGAUGCUUCAGGAAGGGUUGCUCCUCUCACCUUUGUUCCUCCUGCUGCUUCCUGUGGGCAUGGCAUCUUUUCCCUUUUGCUUUUUGUAUAAUGUGGUGUGUGUUGCCCAGGGUUGCUGAGGAGCUGCCAGCUGCAAUGGCCAUGUCUCACUGCAGAUAAACAGACUUUUGCUUUGGGCUUCAUUGCAAAGCUGCGAGAGCCAUCGCUUCAAGCUGUGUCCCUGAGAGCACGCCUGAGCUCCCGAAAACCAUUGCAAACUCUUGCAUCAUGCAGAAGCAGGGGAAGCCGGAGCAGCUGGGAAGUGAGAAGAUCCAUUCUGGCAGCUGUGCCACAGGGACAGGGCGUCACUCAGAGCAACAAAAGGUGUUGGCAGCAAGAAGUGCGGUGCCACGAUUUCUUCUCCCUCUCGCAGAGGCAGAAUUUCUCGCCGUGAGCCCUGCGCCAGCCAUUCAGAAGUAGCCUGAAGUCUGGCUCCAGUUGCACGCCUUUAUUAAUGACAGAAGCCCUCGAGGGGUGGGAUCCAGAGGCAUCACAGAGAUAUUUUUUUUUCCCCUUUCCUAAGCACAAAAGACAGAAGUGGAAUGCAGCUGAGGAAUGUUUCGCCCUUGGAAGGGAUGUAAUAAAUCUCGUUGGAUGUGCUAUUUGGUUUAUUUUGCGGGAGUCAUUCAAAAGGAAAAUGCAGAUUGUGGGGCUUAGUGCUCAGCCUAUGCUGGCAAAGGAUCUCCAACAAAGAAUGUUCAUUGGCAGGGAAUGUCCUGACUUUGCAAGUGAGAAAACGCCUCUUUUUCAGUUACUCUAAAAGCUGUCUUGUUAUUAUAUAAAAGGCUGCUGCAAAGCAGGCUGCGAUCGAUUGUUCGCCAGAGCCAGAUCCGCUAGGAGAAGGACAAGCAGUAAUUGCUCUAAUCUGCAGGAGAAAGGGUUUGGGCCGCGCUCAGGAAAGGCGCUUUCUUCCUAGGAAGGUCUGCUGGGUCGCAGGGGGCUGCUGGGGAGGCUGAGCAUCCUGGUCCGGAGCAGCACAGCUUUCUCUGGGUGACUUCACCUCGGGAUGGGCGGGAAGAUGGCUUCAAAGACUUCGAGCCCCUGCCAGCCCCCAGUGAUUAUUUCUGUGCGGCUGUUAUUUAACAGUGAGGUGCUCCCUUUGGGAUCUGAAGGAUUCUUCCCAUGCUGAAGAUCGCUGAAUCUAAGGAUAGGUCAGCAGGCAGAGGUGAGGGAAAAGCUGAUAGGAAGGAAUUGAUGUGCAGAUGGGCUUGAUUUACUGCAGAAAUGAGGCAAAGAGAAAGCCCAAAGGUGACUGUAAAGCUGGGCUUCCUGACAGAGAAGGGCAAGGAAGAGAUUGUCUGCAGCCUCCUGCCUCUUGGUGAACUCCUUGGAGAGGUCACAGUGGAGGCCAGGCGGAUGGCAUAAACCAUUUGGGAACCCUAAACCAGGAUUAAAGGGACGUGGUGGAAGAGAAGCAGACUGCAUGGAGCCAACCUCAGCUGUCUGCCACAGCUCCACCACGAAGGGAACCGCUUUGCUGGAAGGUGGGGGGUGGCGAGCUGAUACUUAGCCAUUGGUUGCACACGAGCUAUUUUUAAAUGGCAUAGGUUUGGUUACUGCCAGUGGCACCAAUCCAGCUUGUAAAAAUCCUGAAGCCCUUCUACCUGCCUGCCUGAAGAGCUGUGGGAUGUUCUAAGUAGGAGAGCUGCAGUAAGUGGGGUCCCAACACAGCUUGGAGUGCAGUGCAGCCCAGGAUGUGCCCUGUGAACUGCAGUCCAGUGGUGGCACUACCAGUACAGUCACAGCUGCACCA